rnacentral:rRNA from 1 species
UGGGGAAUUUUGGACAAUGGGCGAAAGCCUGAUCCAGCAAUGCCGCGUGUGUGAAGAAGGCCUUCGGGUUGUAAAGCACUUUUGUCCGGAAAGAAAUCCUUGGCUCUAAUACAGUCGGGGGAUGACGGUACCGGAAGAAUAAGCACCGGCUAACUACGUGCCAGCAGCCGCGGUAAUACGUAGGGUGCAAGCGUUAAUCGGAAUUACUGGGCGUAAAGCGUGCGCAGGCGGUUUGCUAAGACCGAUGUGAAAUCCCCGGGCUCAACCUGGGAACUGCAUUGGUGACUGGCAGGCUAGAGUAUGGCAGAGGGGGGUAGAAUUCCACGUGUAGCAGUGAAAUGCGUAGAGAUGUGGAGGAAUACCGAUGGCGAAGGCAGCCCCCUGGGCCAAUACUGACGCUCAUGCACGAAAGCGUGGGGAGCAAACAGGAUUAGAUACCCCUGGUAGUCCACGCCCUAAACGAUGUCAACUAGUUGUUGGGGAUUCAUUUCCUUAGUAACGUAGCUAACGCGUGAAGUUGACCGCCUGGGGAGUACGGUCGCAAGAUUAAAACUCAAAUGAAUUGNC